CGUAGGGUGCAAGCGUUAAUCGGAAUUACUGGGCGUAAAGCGUGCGCAGGCGGUUAUGUAAGACAGGUGUGAAAUCCCCGGGCUUAACCUGGGAACUGCAUUUGUGACUGCAUAGCUAGAGUACGGUAGAGGGGGAUGGAAUUCCGCGUGUAGCAGUGAAAUGCGUAGAUAUGCGGAGGAACACCGAUGGCGAAGGCAAUCCCCUGGACCUGUACUGACGCUCAUGCACGAAAGCGUGGGGAGCAAACAGGAUUAGAUACCCUGGUAGUCCACGCCCUAAACGAUGUCAACUGGUUGUUGGGUCUUCACUGACUCAGUAACGGAGCUAACGCGUGAAGCUGACCGCCUGGGGAGUACGGCCGCAAGGUUG
rnacentral:rRNA from 1 species